GCCUUCGUAGCUCAGCAGGUAGAGCACCUGACUGUUAAUCAGGGGGUCGGUGGUUCAAGUCCACCCGAAGGCGC
rnacentral:tRNA from 1 species